rnacentral:miRNA from 1 species
UGACUCGACCGAACACUCGUCGU